GAUGAACGCUGGCGGCGUGCUUAACACAUGCAAGUCGAACGGUGAACCCCAUCUGGCUGGGUGGAUUAGUAGCGAACGAGUAACUAACACGUGAGUAACCUGCCCUUGACUCUUGACUAAGCCUGGGAAACUCGAUUACAUACUGGAUAUCACUUCUCAUCUGAGUGUGGGUGGUGGGAAGUUUUAGUGGUCUUUGAUGGACUCGCGGCCUAGCAGGUUGUUGGUGAGGUAAUGGAUCACCACGGCGACGACGGGUAGCCGGCCUGAGAGGGUGACCGGCCACACUGGGACUGAGACACGGCCCAGACUCCUACGGGAGGCAGCAGUGGGGAAUAUUGCACAAUGGGCGGAAGCCUGAUGCAGCGACGCCGCGUGAGGGAUGACGGCCUUCGGGUUGUAAACCUCUUUCAGUAGGGAAGAAGCGAAAGUGACGGUACCUGCAGAAGAAGCGCCGGCUAACUACGUG
rnacentral:rRNA from 1 species